rnacentral:rRNA from 1 species
AGAGUUUGAUCCUGGCUCAGGAUGAACGCUAGCUACAGGCUUAACACAUGCAAGUCGAGGGGCAGCAUGGUCUCAGCUUGCUAAGGCCGAUGGCGACCGGCGCACGGGUGAGUAACACGUAUCCAACCUGCCGUCUACUCUUGGACAGCCUUCUGAAAGGAAGAUUAAUACAAGAUGGCAUCAUGAGUCCGCAUGUUCACAUGAUUAAAGGUAUUCCGGUAGACGAUGGGGAUGCGUUCCAUUAGAUAGUAGGCGGGGUAACGGCCCACCUAGUCUUCGAUGGAUAGGGGUUCUGAGAGGAAGGUCCCCCACAUUGGAACUGAGACACGGUCCAAACUCCUACGGGAGGCAGCAGUGAGGAAUAUUGGUCAAUGGGCGAGAGCCUGAACCAGCCAAGUAGCGUGAAGGAUGACUGCCCUAUGGGUUGUAAACUUCUUUUAUAAAGGAAUAAAGUCGGGUAUGCAUACCCGUUUGCAUGUACUUUAUGAAUAAGGAUCGGCUAACUCCGUGCCAGCAGCCGCGGUAAUACGGAGGAUCCGAGCGUUAUCCGGAUUUAUUGGGUUUAAAGGGAGCGUAGAUGGAUGUUUAAGUCAGUUGUGAAAGUUUGCGGCUCAACCGUAAAAUUGCAGUUGAUACUGGAUAUCUUGAGUGCAGUUGAGGCAGGCGGAAUUCGUGGUGUAGCAGUGAAAUGCUUAGAUAUCACGAAGAACUCCGAUUGCGAAGGCAGCCUGCUUAGCUGCAACUGACAUUGAGGCUCGAAAGUGUGGGUAUCAAACAGGAUUAGAUACCCUGGUAGUCCACACGGUAAACGAUGAAUACUCGCUGUUUGCGAUAUACAGCAAGCGGCCAAGCGAAAGCGUUAAGUAUUCCACCUGGGGAGUACGCCGGCAACGGUGAAACUCAAAGGAAUUGACGGGGGCCCGCACAAGCGGAGGAACAUGUGGUUUAAUUCGAUGAUACGCGAGGAACCUUACCCGGGCUUAAAUUGCAGAUGAAUUACGGUGAAGGCCGUAAGCCGCAAGGCAUCUGUGAAGGUGCUGCAUGGUUGUCGUCAGCUCGUGCCGUGAGGUGCCGGCUUAAGUGCCAUAACGAGCGCAACCCUUGUUGUCAGUUACUAACAGGUUCCGCUGAGGACUCUGACAAGACUGCCAUCGUAAGAUGUGAGGAAGGUGGGGAUGACGUCAAAUCAGCACGGCCCUUACGUCCGGGGCUACACACGUGUUACAAUGGGGGGUACAGAGGGCCGCUACCACGCGAGUGGAUGCCAAUCCCAAAAACCUCUCUCAGUUCGGACUGGAGUCUGCAACCCGACUCCACGAAGCUGGAUUCGCUAGUAAUCGCGCAUCAGCCACGGCGCGGUGAAUACGUUCCCGGGCCUUGUACACACCGCCCGUCAAGCCAUGGGAGCCGGGGUACCUGAAGUGCGUAACCGCGAGGAGCGCCCUAGGGUAAAACUGGUGACUGGGGCUAAGUCGUAACAAGGUA